GAUGAACGCUGGCGGCGUGCCUAAUACAUGCAAGUCGAGCGAACGGACUAGAAGAUUGCUUCUCUGAUGUUAGCGGCGGACGGGUGAGUAACACGUGGAUAACCUACCUAUAAGACUGGGAUAACUUCGGGAAACCGGAGCUAAUACCGGAUGAUAUUUUGAACCGCAUGGUUCAAAAGUGAAAGACGGUCUUGCUGUCACUUAUAGAUGGAUCCGCGCUGCAUUAGCUAGUUGGUAAUGUAACGGCUUACCAAGGCAACGAUGCAUAGCCGACAUGAGAGGGAGAUCGGCCACACUGGAAAGGAGACACGAUCAAGACUCCUACGGGCGGCCGGAGUAGGGAAUCUUCCGCAAAGGGGCAAAGACUAACGGAGCAACGCCGCGUGAGUGAUGAAGGUCUUCGGAUCGUAAAACUCUGUUAUUAGGGAAGAACAUAUGUGUAAGUAACUGUGCACAUCUUGGCGGUACCUAAUCAGAAAGCCACGGGUAACUCCGUG
rnacentral:rRNA from 1 species